UCAGAGAAAAUUUUAACCUUCACAGGUUCGUUGAGGAAGCCUUGCCUGAACAACUCCUAGAGAUUACCGAUCCUCUUCUACUUCAAGAACUGGAGAGCCACAUGGGCACCGACCGAGGCAAUGCAGCUCGCGAUUGUCUGGAGAUGGUCUAUAGAAUUGGGGUUGCCUGCUCAGUCGAGGCACGCAGAGAGCGGACGAACAUUGCAAAAGUCGCAGCUCAGCUGCAUUUUAUCAGGGAUAAACUUCAUGCAGCUGGUUUACAAUGAUAGGUUAUAUGAACUCAGGAGUGCUUGGAGUCGGUUUCAGCAAUUCCAGUAGAAUCUUUUCUUCUCCCAUGCUUAGCACUAGAAAAAAGGGGAUGCUUGCUAUGUUAGUGUAGUAGAUUUAGGGAAGGCAACGGUUCUCCGAUAUCGGCCACGGCUCAAAAUGAGAAAUCAAUCUCGUGUUUUAUUCAAUAAAACUCGGGUUUUGGCUCAAUUGCUGCAAGAACUGCAAGUAGCUCUUUUAAUUUGAUGAC